GAAAAUUCAGUGGGAGUGGGGGGGCUGGGUGAUCUGGUAGUGGCGGACUCCGCCAACUUGUCCAACACGUUGUGGUAUGUUAGACUUUUUAAAAAACACAUUUAAGCGCGAACGCCAGAGGUGCAGUUCGGGAUAUCUGCGUCAACUCAUCAUUAAAGAGAGAGAGAGAGAGGCCGGACAUUCAGCUCCCUCUGAGAAGGGAUCCAGGUGAUCACCAGUGAGCGGAGGAAGAUGGGCAUCCACAGAAAAUGAAGAGGAAAACUGGGGGCAGGACUGAGUGGAAAUCAAAGGUACAUUACACACCUUCAACUUCAUAACAAGAGCACAAACUUUGGGAAUCUAGCAUCAGGCAUAUGAACAAGAUGUCUUCCCAAUGGACUAUUAAUGCUGAGCAAGCUGGCUCUGAAGCGGAUACUGUUAUUGGACUGUCUUUUUCCCCAUCAAGUUGGAGGAUCGUUUGAAGGUAUUGCUGGUGGGACUUCUCUGGUGUUAUCAGGUACCUGCUUUUCAGUAUUACAGAAGCAAUAUCUGAACUUGUGCCCAAAGUGACUGUUGUUUGCUUCAGCCAAUUCAGUAAACUGCACCGUUCUAAGAACUGUCAGAAGAAAUUCAAUGACAGAAUGGACACCUUACUUUCGAAAAUUUGAAAUCAUCACCAUUUGGGGUCCUGAAUAUCAUAAGUUCUGUCAGCCACUGGGCUAUCUGCUUGUUUAUAGCACUGGAUGGUUUUUAUUUAUUUGUUUCCAUUGGUAAGCAUGCCACCAAUGGUGAUCUUGCUGCAAAAGAGAUUUGAUGUGGGUUUUAAAAAAAGUCUCUUGACAGAAUAAAUAGAAACUAUUCCCAUCGUUGAAAGAGUCAAGAUCCAGAGGAGACAGAUCUAAAAGAAGUAGCAAAAGAAUCAAAUAUUUUAAGGGAUACUUUUUUUCAUUAAACAGUAAUUGAUUAAUGUCUGAACUGCAUUGCCCAAGAUGAUAGAGACAAAUUCAGAUUGUGAAUUUGAAGAGGGAAUUGGAGAAGCAUCUAAAAUAAAUAUUUGCAUUGACAGGAAAAGAGCAGGAAAAUCAGACUUGCUAAAUCCCAAAUCAUCUGUAGAGGUACUGAAUAUUGUGCAGUCAUGAGUAAACAUUCCACUUUUACUUUAUAAUGGAAGGAAGGUCAUUGACUCAACAGUUGACACCGCCUCAAGAAACUGCUACAGCAAUAUCUCAGGAAAGAAUGGAUAUCCCAGCAACCAUAACUUUCUUCUUCUGUUCUAGUUAUGACUCAACCAACCAAUGGGGACUCUCCCACUCUGUUGGUUCAAGUUUUGCCAGGGGUCCCUUAUGCCAAUCUGAACCAAAAACUGCCUUUAUUUCAAGUUACCCAAACUAUGCAUUAGUGAGGUUAUUACUGUGGGGGUGCUAUCAGGUAGCACUUAAUGACACCUUCAAUCACUUUGCUAAUGAUGAUGAUGAAAGGCCUGAUGGGACAGUAAUUGGCCAGGGUGCUUUUGUCCUGCUUUUUGUGAACAAGACAUGCCAGAUUGUUUUUCCACGCCCAUAGAUGCCCAAAGUAUUCUGAUAUGUUCAUAUGUUUUGUAAGUUAGGCCUGGAUUGUAGAUGCUCAGGAAGGCAAGCAUUUUUCAGAAACUUUCAUAAGUAUUCUUGUAUAGAGAAUAAAUUAGAAUGAGAAUUAUGUAAAUGUCAUUGCAAUGGUUUUUGAACGAAAAGCAAAAGCCAAUCUACAAAAUAGAAGAUUUAUUUCUUAUGAUUUUAGCUUUACAAACUGAAAACCAGCCCUAUAUACAAAACAAGUUAAUUCUAAAAAAAUUAGUUAAUUUCCAUAUUUAUAAAGAUCAAAAGAUGAAUCAAUCUGGUUUGUG